AACCACCCAUAUGCGUGACACAGGUGGAAUUAGGGUGGAAGGGAUGGCAUGAAAGAUCCCCAGCAAAAUCUCACGUAGCAUGGGGAUGGGAGAGAUCAUCAGUGACAUAUUGUGAUAUGCAAUUAUCCGCAGUGAAUUAGUGUGAGUUUGUAUUCUUAAAUGGAAACAUUCAUUGCACACUGACUUACACUACCAGGCCCUAAGAUUCAGAUUCACGAGCUAAGCCACGCUUCUCUUUUUAAAGGAACUCAAAUUACUAUAAUGUUCUACCUAUCUCCUAUGAUGCUGUACCUAGCUAUACUGAAAUUCCCCCGUGGGACUUUAAUGAAUAGCUUAGCCUGGGAUAUAAUUUACUAGGAUUUCAAUGACGCUCCCUGCAUAUCAACAAGAUCUAUUUCUGCUGCAGCUACUUGUGUUGAAGGUGGUAUUACAUCCCUCCUUACAUUAUACUAGAAAAGCCUUUAUGGCGGUAGCUCAGUAAUGCAGGGUAUUCUACUUGGGUGUCUAAGCUCGCACAGACAGCAAUUGCCUUGAGGAGACGGAUGCAGACCAGGUGGAAAAUGUUUUACAAUUCUUGAGGAUAUAAGUGAAGUGCCAAUGCUUCAGUUCUGUGCCCACAAGUCCCGAACAGACAGCAUGCUUAGCCAGACUGUAUCCAGGUCUCCCCAGCACCAGAAACCUCAAAAGCAAACUUUGGACUCUGCUGAGUUGGAAAUAUAACAGACUUCGCCUCUUUGGUGCUAUUUUAACUCUUGUAUUUCCACAUCCAGUUCCCACUGAAAUGUGUGAGCUGGAACCAAAACCUCCAAAAAGGGUCAGCGUUUUGGGUGAAAGUUCAUGUCAGGUAUUCCUGUCACCAGAUCGGUGGCCCACAGCCCUUACUCUCCGUAUUGCCAAGCAUAAACACAGCCCAAGCUUUUCUCUUCUCGCAGAAUAUUUAAUAUAUAUUUAAUAUAUGUAUAAAGAAUAUGCUUCUUUGUUCAUCAUGCACCAUGCCACCGUGCCUGCCCAAGGUGCGCGGAAGAGUGCAUUGCAAGAGAACAAGGAUGGUCUUGAGACUAAAGCGCACAAGGAGAUCUGGGCUCUAGCCCCCAGGUCUGCCGUAGACUUCCUAUGUGAGCUAGGGUAAGUCACUUAAUCUUUCUGUGUCCCAGUUCCACAUCUGUACAAUGAGAAUAGUCAUACUUCCUAUGCCCGGUCAAGCUCUUUGGGGAAAAGGCUUUCUCUGUUAUGUGUUUGUACAGCUCCAAGCACAAUAGAGCUCCAGUCUUGAGUGGGGGCCUGUUGGUGCUAUUGAAAUAUAACAAGAAAAUUAGCUAUUGUUCAUAAGAGAUUUUGAGCUCCUCACUGGAAGGUGCUGUAGAAAGGUCACAUGUUGUGGCUUUUUGAUUGCACAGCACUGAAGUGAGGUGUAGAGGAGUCACAUGUCAGUGCAGAGCCAGAUACGUGCUCCUUACAGCAUACAAGCUUGGACUUGGGGCACUAGCCAGGUUCCAUCAUUUAGCUGCUCUCUGCAGAAAAAUGACCUCGAGUGAAUCAUGUCAUUUGAAAAGAAGCUUGUGAACAACAAAAGCCACAUCCCUUUGCCCACGUACUCCACUUCGUUUUGUUUUGUUUUGUUUCAUCCUGCUGUGGAUUUUGACCUUUCUGCAACCACAGGACCAAAGAACUCUCCAGGAAAACAAUGAGAAGGCAGCACGUAAACCUUAGCCCGGUUUCCUCUGCCUGGAAGAGCGUUCAUUUCUUCCUCUUCUCUGCUGAUGGACAUGCUGCUGGUUUGGGUCUCGGGGGGCUACAUUCCGUUUGACACGCUGUUGAUUUAAGAGAAAAACUAAAACUGCCAUUGCCUAGAAAAGACAGAGCAAUGAUUCCUGCCAGGCCACUUUUCUGAACUGGUUCCUUUGUUGCUGGCCAGCGUAUGAAAGUGUGUACUGCUGCAGACCCUGGCACGUGGCAUCCACUCUGGCAUGCCAGGACGAUUACUCGCCUUUAACAAUAGUGUGUACGUGGCAGAGGGAGACCAGAAAGUAUGUCCACCAAACCCAGCAAUAAGUGAUUGCUCUUCAUCUUCAUUCAUAAGUCAUGAUCUUCAAAGGCUCAGAUGAUAGAUCUCAACUCAUCAGGCGGUUUCUCUUUAUAAUACCAAGAUCAUAUGCCUGUUUUAUAAAUUCUAAGGGCUCUGUCGUUGCUGAUGGGGGUUAUGAGGGAUGGUGUGCUAUCAUGUGAACUCAGAUUACAUUUUAAAUGGGAGAAUGGAUGUGUCGACUGCAUGGUAUUGAGCAAGUAGAACAUUCCAAAAAAUGUGCCUGGGCAUCAACAUCUUAAUGGAUCUUGGACAAGACUCAUGCAUUGAGUGUGGAUUUCAGUGCGGCCAUUCAGUCAUGUCCUUGACACAGCCUCCAUCAGAAUUUUGGGGACUAGAAUUGCUUAGUUGCAGAGCACAAUCUAAGAGACUUGGGUGGAAGGGUCAGGGCCGGAGUGCAAGGUGAACAGAUGCUAAUAGAACACAGACAAAUGAAAGCUGUAUUGGAUACCUGUUCCUGCCUAAAACCAUGUGCUGGGCUUUUUUCCCUACCUUACUCGUGCUUUACAAGGCAACUUUUUCCAGUGAAAGCUAUGCAGUAAGGGAAGUUUACCACAGCUUGAUUUCACUGAUCAUAUUUAUAAUCUCUUACUUUUUUAGCAUGUGUUUUAAUUAAAUUUCAUGCACGCACGCACGCACACACAAAUAACAAAACCAGAAAUACCUGGUUUCCACUCCCCCCAGUUUUCAUCUCUGACAGUAAAUGACUAACAAAUAGCUGAUUGUCCUAUAAUAUAACCUGUUUAAUUA